rnacentral:lncRNA from 1 species
CAGCAAUUCCCUGUUGUAAAACCUCUCCCAAACCCUAAUUCGAUCCUCGAACAAACUGCAUCUGCAAUUAACAAUGUCUUCUCGCUAUAGAACGCUCUCCAGACCCGCGGUUAAUCUUCUCAAGUCCGCAAUUUCAACGCCUUCAUUGAGUCCCGCAUCUAUCCAAUCCUCACGCUCAUCUCCAUCUCUUUUCUCAAGGUUGUUCCCCCCACCCCGCACCCCCAUCCAAAACACUAAAUACAUUCCUUAACAAAGCCAUUUGUUAUUUUUGAAUCAAGAUUCAGUUUUGAACAUUCAUUUGUUAUCUCAUGUGGGUUUUGUUUAAAAUGGGUUUCUUGACCUUUUUUAUUUUUUAUUUUUCAAAACCGUAAAAACAAUUCCUCCUCGAUUGAAUGCCGUUCCGUUUUGUAUUCUUAACACAAGAUUCGAUUUUGAAUUGUAAUUUUCAGGGUCGAAAUGCUAAAUAUUUAAGACUUUUAUAUUCUUGAAAUUUUACUUUUGAAUUUUAGGCCAUUAGCUCAGAUUGAUGCAUUUCAGUCUCUACUACCUCUCCACACAGCUGUCUCCUCUGCUCGGCUUACCUCUUGCCUUGGGGCCGACACCAAAGGCCGCCGGUCGCUAUCUCAGGGUAUGCUCUGCAGUGCCAACCAUGGAGUUUGAUAAAUUUUAUAAUGUUUCUGUAAGCAUACUACUUUUAUCUUUAAUAGUUCCUUCCAAGUUGGUAGAUUUCUGUGAUUCUUUUGUUUUUUCAUUUAUGAGUUACUGAGUAAAUUAUCGUGUUCCUUUGUUUACAUGUACAUUAUGUGGGAUUGAUACAGGUGAUCAUGUUUGGCUAUGCUCAAUAAUAAGUCUCUAGAAAGGAAGUCUAUAAAACUAAGUGUUGUUAAUUAUGUUUAGCAAAAGAAGUAAGUUUGACUUACUUUUAAUGAGCCAGAAUGUAUUUGAUAGGUAAUUUCUAGUUUAACUAAAAUGAAACAUGGAUAGAGAGAGAGAGAGAGUUAUGGCAUGUGAUGACAUGCAUGAGGAGAGAUGUGGAGAGUAAGUGGUUAAUAUACAUCAUUCCAGAAUCCAUAAUGGAAAAGCUCGUUGUGUGGAUGUUGUACGCUCUUUAUUCUGCACUGUGCACAGUGCGUCUCUGGUUGCAAUUGUGACCUAUCAUCAAGCUCUUGUGGUAUAUUUUGACUCCUUGCUUGUCAUGAGUGUUGGUUGGGGUUGCUUAAGUUGUUGCCUAUAAGGGUCGCCUAUGACAUGUAUGAUCCAAUACGAUAAUUUUGUUGAAAGUUUUAACUUUAUAGCAGUUUGGCAACUUGUGCUAUAGAUUCUAGAUAUCUGUAUCGUCAAACUAUCUUUUUCAAAUGAAAUGUCUCGGUUUAACGAAAGCAAUCAAUAAGGCGAGAUUAUAACGUCUUUUUUUUCCCCAUUCAGAUGAUUUGAGGUUUUUAGGUAAAUAAUAAUUUGGGUGUAAAAUGUAGAUGCUACAUGAUGGAAGGAAAAUUGGUAAUUAUGCCGGGAGCUGGCUUUCAUUGGAAGUUUAGGUUUUGGGUGUAGGUAUUCUUUUAUUUUCUCGGACUAUUUUAUAUUUCAGUUCUUUUAACUCAUGUUUUAAACUUGUUUUUUGUUGAAAUUGUAAUUUUGGAGUGUAGGGUUGUGAUGUAGCCUAUUGAGGUCACAGUUCUCUAGCAUCGGUUGAGUUUCAAAUCAAAUCAUAAAACCCAACGGCCAAUAUACAUUUAUUAAUUUGUAAACUUCCGAGCAAGUGACGAAUUUGAUGUUUCUAUGGGUAAUUUUGCCCAAAUAGUGCAAAAGCGAGCUAUUAUCUUCUUUCUCUGCUUCCUCCUCCUCCCCUCCAUAUAAUCCUCAAAUCUUAAUUCUCUUAUGCUGUUCAUUUUACUACAUUAUCUUUGAUACAUUUAAACCCUAUGUAACAAUGCUCAACCAUCACCAACAAAAAGUUUGAUGUAUGUACACUUGGUGCAUGUUGGGUACACAACACUCGAUAGGACUUAAUAGUAUAAUAAACAAGAUUUUAGCUUAUUUUUCUCAGUACCAUCAAGAGCUAUCCAACCAUUUCUACCAAUCAUGCAGUCCGAGUUUAUCUGUUGUGCUCAUAAAUUCUCGUUGUCUGCAAUGCUUCAUAUGUACAAUUGAUAGCCUAUGAAUUUUCAUGAUUAUAAGGUUAAUUAGAAAACAUAACUUUUUCACCCAACUAUUUUUGUGUGUGUGAUAUUUCAGUGGCUUAUAAUUAUUUUAUUUUAAUUUUUAAUCCUUUCUUAUUGUCUUUGGGAGAUGGGGACGAUAUGGAGUUGGCUUAUCAUCUCCUUGUACAAAUUUGGACAAGAACCUGAAAUCUGGCUUUUGGGGAAUGGGAAAACAUUUGAACGUAGUUACUUGCCUUCCUAAGUGCCAUCUAGCAUUUCUUUUCGUACAGUUGAAUUUUGUGCAUGUUUGGCUAAUUUAAAAUUUUAAUUAUAUGUAAAUAGGUUAGUUUGAAUAAAUAAUCAUUUGUUUGUUAAAGUUAGAAAUAAGUUACUUGUUUUGAGAGUAACUUUUCAGUUCUACCUCACCGUCAAAAUAAGUAACUUUCUUUUCCUGCUUAGUAACAAAAUUAACUCAUCCGAAACAUGCUUGGAAGCAAAAGUUUCUUUAAAUAAGGCCCCGUUUGUUUCUCAUUUUUGUAAGAAUGAAAAUGAAAAAUAUAGUCGUUACGAACCCACACAAGAGAUAGAAAUUCAAAUUUGAUGGUUUGAUGUGAUGGAUAACGGUCAUAUUUUUUAUUUUAAUGGGAAAAGAAUAAGAAACAAACGAGGGCUAAAUAUAACUUAGAAAACAGACAAACAUGCAUGUUGUACAUGUUUGACAUUUUGUGAGCUCUAUAUAUGUAAAUAGGCUAGUUUGAAUGGAUAAUCUUUUGUUUGUUAAAGUUAGAAAUAAGUUACUUGUUUUGAGAGUAACUUUUCAGUUCUACCUCACCGUCAAAAUAAGUACUUUCUUUUCUUGCUUAGUAACAAAAGUAACUCAUCAAAACAUGCUUGGAAGCAAAUGUUUCUUUAAAUAAAUAGGACUUAGAAGACAGACAAACAUACUUGUUGUACAUGUUAACAAUUUGUGAGCUCCUUUUUUGUGAAUGUAUAUUUUUGUUGUAGCCACGAAUGAGUCAUUUUGUACAUUUCUCCCAUUUUUGUUGGUUAUUCUCGCAUUUGUAGAGCAUUUUCAAUAGACUCGUUAAAUAUGAAAUACUCUUUAUUUUAAAAAGUCAACCCUUAAAAUCAUGUUCCAAAAAACUCUUUAAAUUAACAUUUUAAUUUGGAGAGCGAAACUCACUCUCUAUAAUUAAAUGCAUUAGAAGUGUUUCAAUUUCAAUGUAAGAAAAUAAUAAAAUAAUCUAAAGAAAAGCUAAUUAAAAUAAAAGAUAGAGAAAAAUAAUAAAUAUUUUUGGGGAGUAGUAAAAUUAAGUGUUAAAUAUGAAGAGCCUAUUGGAGUACUUUAAAAUUUUAACUCUAUAAAUUUAUAUAUACUCUUCAAAUGAUAGAAUAUGCUCUUUAUAAAUAGAAAGGCUCUUAGAGAUACUUAAUUAUCCCUGGAAAAAAGGAUUGUUAUGCUACCAGCCACUACGUGAUUUGUCUAUUUCCCACGUCUAUGAUUGCAAUUUUAGCUCGUUGCAUAAAAGUUCUAUAAACUUAUUUUAGAACGGUUCUUUGCAUUUAAUUCUCUACAUAAUUUUUUGGGAUAUUUUUCUCCUUAUUUGAUGUUUAUAUCCACAUGAUAUAUGAAAAUCAAUGUGAAACCAUGUUUAUCUCAAUUCUAUAAUCAAGUGACUUGCAGGAAUGGGAUCAAUUAUUCACUCAACUCAUUUUUUUGGCUUUCAUCUAGUUGCUUGGAAUUCCCUGAUCAUCGCUUAUGUUUUCUCUGGUUUGCUCAGAACUAGGUCUCUGUGUGCUGCGAUAAGAGACUUAAGGUUGAAGAUGGACUAAGUGAUUGAUCAACGAUCUUGGACUUCCCAUUAGAUUUAUGUGAUUUUCCUUUUUAUUUAAAGGAAAUAAAUGUCUACAAUUUUGUGUAACACAUAUUGAUGAAAACCUUGGAUUGGUAUUUCUUUGUUGUCAUCUUAAAUAGAGAGAUUUCAGUUCUUGCUUAUUUUCAUGAAUAAUCUUGUGAGCUCUAAUUCAG